rnacentral:rRNA from 1 species
CCUACGGGUGGCAGCAGUGGGGAAUAUUGCACAAUGGGGGAAACCCUGAUGCAGCGACGCCGCGUGAGUGAAGAAGUAUUUCGGUAUGUAAAGCUCUAUCAGCAGGGAAGAAAUAGCGACCUUUGGGUCGCCAGACGGUACCUGAUUAAGAAGCACCGGCUCACUACGUGCCAGAAGCGGCGGUAAUACGUAGGGGGCAAGAGUUAUCCGGAUGUAUUGGGUUUAAAGGGUGCGUAGGCGGAAUAUCAAGUCCGCGGUAAAAAUUCGGGGCUCAACCCCGUCGUGCCGUUGAAACUGAUGUUCGUGAGUGGGCGAGAAGUAUGCGGAAUGCGUGGUGUAGCGGUGAAAUGCAUAGAUAUCACGCAGAACUCCGAUUGCGAAGGCAGCAUACCGGCGCUCAACUGACGCUCAUGCACGAAAGUGUGGGUAUCGAACAGGAUUAGAUACCCCUGUAGUC